GGCUCAGGAUGAACGCUAGCUACAGGCUUAACACAUGCAAGUCGAGGGGCAUCAGGAAGAAAGCUUGCUUUCUUUGCUGGCGACCGGCGCACGGGUGAGUAACACGUAUCCAACCUGCCCUUUACUCGGGGAUAGCCUUUCGAAAGAAAGAUUAAUACCCGAUGGCAUAAUGAUUCCGCAUGGUUUCAUUAUUAAAGGAUUCCGGUAAAGGAUGGGGAUGCGUUCCAUUAGGUUGUUGGUGAGGUAACGGCUCACCAAGCCUUCGAUGGAUAGGGGUUCUGAGAGGAAGGUCCCCCACAUUGGAACUGAGACACGGUCCAAACUCCUACGGGAGGCAGCAGUGAGGAAUAUUGGUCAAUGGGCGCUAGCCUGAACCAGCCAAGUAGCGUGAAGGAUGAAGGCUCUAUGGGUCGUAAACUUCUUUUAUAUAAGAAUAAAGUGCAGUAUGUAUACUGUUUUGUAUGUAUUAUAUGAAUAAGGAUCGGCUAACUCCGUGCCAGCAGCCGCGGUAAUACGGAGGAUCCGAGCGUUAUCCGGAUUUAUUGGGUUUAAAGGGAGCGUAGGUGGACUGGUAAGUCAGUUGUGAAAGUUUGCGGCUCAACCGUAAAAUUGCAGUUGAUACUGUCAGUCUUGAGUACAGUAGAGGUGGGCGGAAUUCGUGGUGUAGCGGUGAAAUGCUUAGAUAUCACGAAGAACUCCGAUUGCGAAGGCAGCUCACUGGACUGCAACUGACACUGAUGCUCGAAAGUGUGGGUAUCAAACAGGAUUAGAUACCCUGGUAGUCCACACAGUAAACGAUGAAUACUCGCUGUUUGCGAUAUACAGUAAGCGGCCAAGCGAAAGCAUUAAGUAUUCCACCUGGGGAGUACGCCGGCAACGGUGAAACUCAAAGGAAUUGACGGGGGCCCGCACAAGCGGAGGAACAUGUGGUUUAAUUCGAUGAUACGCGAGGAACCUUACCCGGGCUUAAAUUGCAGUGGAAUGAUGUGGAAACAUGUCAGUGAGCAAUCACCGCUGUGAAGGUGCUGCAUGGUUGUCGUCAGCUCGUGCCGUGAGGUGUCGGCUUAAGUGCCAUAACGAGCGCAACCCUUAUCUUUAGUUACUAACAGGUUAUGCUGAGGACUCUAGAGAGACUGCCGUCGUAAGAUGUGAGGAAGGUGGGGAUGACGUCAAAUCAGCACGGCCCUUACGUCCGGGGCUACACACGUGUUCCAAUGGGGGGUACAGAAGGCAGCUAGCGGGUGACCGUAUGCUAAUCCCAAAAGCCUCUCUCAGUUCGGAUCGAAGUCUGCAACCCGACUUCGUGAAGCUGGAUUCGCUAGUAAUCGCGCAUCAGCCACGGCGCGGUGAAUACGUUCCCGGGCCUUGUACACACCGCCCGUCAAGCCAUGGGAGCCGGGGGUACCUGAAGUACGUAACCGCAAGGAUCGUCCUAGGGUAAAACUGG
rnacentral:rRNA from 1 species